rnacentral:rRNA from 1 species
UACGGAGGGUGCAAACGUUGCUCGGAAUCAUUGGGCGUAAAGCGCACGUAGGCGGCCUGUUAAGUCGGAUGUGAAAGCCCUGGGCUCAACCCAGGAAGUGCAUUCGAAACUGGCAGGCUUGAAUAUGGAAGAGGGUCGCGGAAUUCCCGGUGUAGAGGUGAAAUUCGUAGAUAUCAGGAGGAACACCGGUGGCGAAGGCGGGACUCUGGGCCGAUACUGACGCUGAGGAGCGAAAGCGUGGGGAGCAAACAGG